AAGGCUGUAGCUCAGUCGGUAGAGCAAAUGUGCCUGUUUUCUUGUCGCUGCCUGCACCGAUUGACCCGGCGAAUGCCGGUGGAACUACAGGACAGCGUGGUCGCGGGUUCGAUUCCCGCCAACC
rnacentral:tRNA from 1 species